AUUGAACGCUGGCGGCAUGCCCUACACAUGCAAGUCGAACGGCAGCGCGGGGCAACCUGGCGGCGAGUGGCGAACGGGUGAGUAAUAUAUCGGAACGUACCCUGGAGUGGGGGAUAACGUAGCGAAAGUUACGCUAAUACCGCAUACGAUCUAAGGAUGAAAGUGGGGGAUCGCAAGACCUCGUGCUCCUGGAGCGGCCGAUAUCUGAUUAGCUAGUUGGUGGGGAAAGGCCUACCAAGGCAUCGAUCAGUAGCUGGUCUGAGAGGACGACCAGCCACACUGGGACUGAGACACGGCCCAGACUCCUACGGGAGGCAGCAGUGGGGAAUUUUGGACAAUGGGGGCAACCCUGAUCCAGCAAUGCCGCGUGAGUGAAGAAGGCC
rnacentral:rRNA from 1 species